UAGUGGCGAACGGGUGAGUAACACGUGGGCAAUCUGCCCUUCACUCUGGGACAAGCCCUGGAAACGGGGUCUAAUACCGGAUAACACUCUUCCCUGCAUGGGGGAGGGUUGAAAGCUCCGGCGGUGGAGGAUGAGCCCGCGGCCUAUCAGCUUGUUGGUGGGGUGAUGGCCUACCAAGGCGACGACGGGUAGCCGGCCUGAGAGGGCGACCGGCCACACUGGGACUGAGACACGGCCCAGACUCCUACGGGAGGCAGCAGUGGGGAAUAUUGCACAAUGGGCGGAAGCCUGAUGCAGCGACGCCGCGUGAGGGAUGACGGCCUUCGGGUUGUAAACCUCUUUCAGCAGGGAAGAAGCGUGAGUGACGGUACCUGCAGAAGAAGCGCCGGCUAACUACGUGCCAGCAGCCGCGGUAAUACGUAGGGCGCAAGCGUUGUCCGGAAUUAUUGGGCGUAAAGAGCUCGUAGGCGGCUUGUCGCGUCGGAUGUGAAAGCCCGGGGCUCAACCCCGGGUCUGCAUUCGAUACGGGCAGGCUGGAGUGUGGUAGGGGAGAUCGGANUCCU
rnacentral:rRNA from 1 species